rnacentral:misc_RNA from 1 species
GAAAUGCGAUAAGUAAUGUGAAUUGCAGAAUUCAGUGAAUCAUCGAAUCUUUGAACGCAUCUUGCGCUCCUUGGUAUUCCUUGGAGCAUGCCUGUUUGAGUAUCAUGAAAUCUUCAAAGUAAAUCUUUUGUUAACUCAAUUGGUUUCUACUUUGGUAUUGGAGGUCUUUGCAGCUUCACACCUGCUCCUCUUUGUUCAUUAGCUGGAUCUCAGUGUUAUGCUUGGUUCCACUCUGCGUGAUAAGUUAUCUAUCGCUGAGGACACUGUAAAAGGUGGCCAAGGUAAAUGCAGAUGAACCGCUUCUAAUAGUCCAUUGACUUGGACAAUACUUUUAUGAUCUGAUCUCAAAUCAGGUAGGACUACCCGCUGAACUUAAGC